AGAGUUUGAUCCUGGCUCAGAACGUACGCUGGCGGCACGCCUAACACAUGCAAGUCGAACGAAGUAGCAAUACUUAGUGGCAGACGGGUGAGUAACAUGUGGGUAUCUGCCCUUUGGCCUGGAAUAACACGAGGAAACUUGUGCUAAUACCGGAUAAGUCUUUACGGAGAAAGCUUUAUGCACCAUUGGAUGAGCCUGCACUUGAUUAGUUUGUUGGUGGGGUAAUGGCCUACCAAGACUGUGAUCAAUAGCUGAUUUGAGAGGAUGAUCAGCCACAUUGGGACUGAGACACGGCCCAAACUCCUACGGGAGGCAGCAGUGGGGAAUCUUGCACAAUGGAGGAAACUCUGAUGCAGCGAUGCCGCGUGAGUGAAGAAGGCCCUUGGGUUGUAAAGCUCUUUCGUCGGGGAAGAAAAUGACUGUACCCGAAUAAGAAGGUCCGGCUAACUUCGUGCCAGCAGCCGCGGUAAUACGAAGGGACCUAGCGUAGUUCGGAAUUACUGGGCUUAAAGAGUUCGUAGGUGGUUGAAAUAGUUGGUGGUGAAAUCCCAGAGCUUAACUCUGGAACUGCCAUCAAAACUUUUCAGCUAGAGUAUGAUAGAGGAAAGCAGAAUUUCUAGUGUAGAGGUGAAAUUCGUAGAUAUUAGAAAGAAUACCAAUUGCGAAGGCAGCUUUCUGGAUCAUUACUGACACUGAGGAACGAAAGCAUGGGUAGCGAAGAGGAUUAGAUACCCUCGUAGUCCAUGCCGUAAACGAUGUGUGUUAGACGUUGGAAAUUUAUUUUCAGUGUCGCAGGGAAACCGAUAAACACACCGCCUGGGGAGUACGACCGCAAGGUUAAAACUCAAAUGAAUUGACGGGGACCCGCACAAGUAGUGGAGCAUGUGGUUUAAUUCGAAGAUACGCGCAGAACCUUACCAACACUUGACAUGUUCGUCGCGACUCUAAGAGAUUAGAGUUUUCGGUUCGGCCGGACGAAACACAGGUGCUGCAUGGCUGUCGUCAGCUCGUGUCGUGAGAUGUUGGGUUAAGUCCCGCAACGAGCGCAACCCUCACUUUUAGUUGCCAUCAUUAAGUUGGGCACUCUGAAAGAACUGCCAGUGAUAAGCUGGAGGAAGGUGGGGAUGACGUCAAGUCCUCAUGGCCCUUACGUGUUGGGCUACACACGUGCUACAAUGGUAUCUACAACAGGAAGCAAAACUGCGAAGUUAAGCAAAUCCCUAAAAGAUACCUCAGUUCGGAUUGCACUCUGCAACUCGAGUGCAUGAAGCUGGAAUUACUAGUAAUCGUGGAUCAGCGUGCCACGGUGAAUGCGUUCCCGGGUCUUGUACACACCGCCCGUCACACCAUGGGAGUUGGUUCUACCUUAAGGCAAGGUUUCAAACCCUUGACCACGGUAUAGUCAGCGACUGGGGUGAAGUCGUAACAAGGUAACC
rnacentral:rRNA from 2 species